UACGGGGGGGGCAAGCGUUGUUCGGAAUUACUGGGCGUAAAGGGCUCGUAGGCGGCCAACUAAGUCGGAUGUGAAAUCCCCAGGCUUAACCUGGGAAUUGCAUCCGAUACUGGAUGGCUUGAAUCCGGGAGAGGGAUGCGGAAUUCCAGGUGUAGCGGUGAAAUGCGUAGAUAUCUGGAGGAACACCGGUGGCGAAGGCGGCAUCCUGGACCAACACUGACACUGAGGAGCGAAAGCCAGGGGAGCAAACGGG
rnacentral:rRNA from 1 species